ensembl:lncRNA LINC00683 long intergenic non-protein coding RNA 683
GACAUUCUAAUUGGCAUUGUAGAUGGAACUGUCUACAAUGGUUAUACUAUAAUGUUCAAGAAAUAUGCCCGAAGGCAGUAAAGAUUCAACUACUCACCAAGGACUUAGGCCGCAUUUACUCGGUGUUGCGGGUGGGAAUGCACAGUCAAUGGGAACAGCAUCCCCCGUUCAAAAAGCCGGCCAUUCAGGAGAGGUGACAGACACACAUAGGAGGUUGAGGAACGCCAUCCUGUAAGCUCUAGGAAGAGCAGGAGCUCUACAGAAGCAGAGGCAGAAAGACACUCGGGCUGGUCAAGCAGCUGAGUCCCAGUGACUGUAGCUACAGAUGCCAUUGAUGAUGAUGAUGAUGGUGAUGAUGAUGAUGAUGAUGGUGAUGAUGACGUGAAGGCAGGCCUGUGGGGUGCGGGGGCUUGGCUGGCAGGACUUGUUUCCCUGGCUUGGCUGGUUGCUCGGCGGCGGGAAGAGGAGGUGAGGGCUGAGUGGAGAUGCAACUGAUAAUGGGGUUCUGCCAGGAAGAGCCCGAGAAAAGCCCCGGCAGGUGACAGAAACUCCAUUUGCACCAGCUUACAUUAAAAAAAGAGGAGGGAGAAUAUGGUCGAGUGACCCCAGGAGUGAUAGGGAGCACUGACGGAGUUUCUCCCUGCUCUGGAUAGCAGAUCCGCUGGCUCCCAGCUUAUGAUCCAUGAAGAGAACGUCUUCCCCUUGGGCUUCAAUUUGAAGAAUCCUGAAGACGACCCUGAUGGCCUUUCGCGGUCCACGUGCCCCUUCUUGCACUACCGUGAUGGUCCUAUCCACGGACGCCUUCUCUUGGGUUCUGUGGUUGGAUGCGGAGGAAUCAUCGAUCCUCUGUAGUGGAAGGGAAGGGAGGACACACCAAGACCAUGUGGCCCCAAGAGCCGUGAGAGGAGCAGAAGCCUGACUGGUGCCUCUUACAUGUCACUGCAGCCUCGGGGGGGGCCACCAGGAAAACACCUGACAUCCUGUUCUCUAGUAAUGGUGUGGCUGGAAUCAUUCCUGUACCAAAUAAUUCACCCAUUUAAAGUGUGCAAUCCAACAAUGAUUGGUAUACUCAGAGUUCUGCAACUCUCACCACAAUCAAUUUUGGAACAUUUCUAUCAUCCCUAGCAAUAAAUACUAUAUCUUU